AUUGAACGCUGGCGGCAGGCCUAACACAUGCAAGUCGAACGAGUGGCGGACGGGUGAGUAAUGUCUGGGAAACUGCCCGAUGGAGGGGGAUAACUACUGGAAACGGUAGCUAAUACCGCAUACCAUCGGAUGUGCCCCUAUGGGAUUAGCUAGUAGGUGGGGUAAAGGCACACAUAGGCGCCGAUCCCUAGCUGGUCUGAGAGGAUGACCGGCCACACUGGACGUGAGACACGGUCCAGACGCCUACGGGAGGCAGCAGUGGGGAAUAUUGCACAAUGGGCUCAAGCCUGAGGCAGCCAUGCCGCGUGUAUGAAGAAGGCCUUCGGGUUGUAAAGUACUUUCAGCGGGGAGGCGUUACCCGCAGAAGAAGCACCGGCUAACUCCGUGCCAGCAGCCGCGGUAAUAC
rnacentral:rRNA from 1 species